rnacentral:lncRNA from 1 species
AACUUUUCCCUGUGUUAUCCCGUUUCUAUUGGCUUAUCUCUAAUAACUAUGAUAAUAAAAUUUAAACAAGAGUAGAAAAGGGCUUGGACUCAUGAAUAUGAAAAAAUGACAAGCUGCAACUUGUGAGUGUGAAAUGCUGUGAACUCUUCAUUGGUGGUUUCCAACUUGAAACAGAUCUGAGAGUUUCAGCUGUAAGAAGGGCUGGAACAAGUG